rnacentral:rRNA from 1 species
GACGAACGCUGGCGGCGUGCUUAACACAUGCAAGCCGAGCGAUGAAGCUUCUUCGGAAGUGGAUUAGCGGCGGACGGGUGAGUAACACGUGGGCAACCUGCCUUGUAGAGGGGGAUAGCCUUCCGAAAGGAAGAUUAAUACCGCAUAACAUAGCGAACUCGCUUGGGUUUGCUAUCAAAGAUUUAUCGCUACAAGAUGGGCCCGCGUCGCAUUAGCUAGUUGGUGAGGUAACGGCUCACCAAGGCCACGAUGCGUAGCCGACCUGAGAGGGUGAUCGGCCACAUUGGAACUAAGACACGGUCCAGACUCCUACGGGAGGCAGCAGUGGGGAAUAUUGCACAAUGGGCGAAAGCCUGAUGCAGCAACGCCGCGUGAGUGAUGAAGGUCUUCGGAUUGUAAAGCUCUUUGAUUAGGGACGAUAAUGACGGUACCUAAAGAACAAGCCACGGCUAACUACGUGCCAGCCGCCGCGGUAA